rnacentral:rRNA from 1 species
UAGGGAAUCUUCCACAAUGGACGCAAGUCUGAUGGAGCAACGCCGCGUGAGUGAAGAAGGUUUUCGGACCGUAAAGCUCUGUUGUUGGUGAAGAAGGAUAGAGGUAGUAACUGGCCUUUAUUUGACGGUAAUCAACCAGAAAGUCACGGCUAACUACGUGCCAGCAGCCGCGGUAAUCGUAGGUGGCAAGCGUUGUCCGGAUUUAUUGGGCGUAAAGCGAGCGCAGGCGGAAGAAUAAGUCUGAUGUGAAAACCCUCGGCUUAACCGAGGAAUUGCAUCGGAAACUGUUUUCUUGAGUGCAGAAGAGGAGAGUAGAACUCCAUGUGUAGCGGUGGAAUGCGUAGAUAUAUGGAAGAAUACCAGUGGCGAAGGCGGCUCUCUGGUCUGCAACUGACGCUGAGGCUCGAAAGCAUGGGUAGCGAACAGGAUUAGAUACCCUGGUAGUCCAUGCCGUAAACGAUGAGUGCUAAGUGUUGGGAGGCUUCCGCCUCUCAGUGCUGCAGCUAACGCAUUAAGCACUCCGCCUGGGGGAGUACGACCGCAAGGUUGAAAC